UUCCAUGGGUGAUUGUUUCCAAUUG
rnacentral:misc_RNA from 1 species